rnacentral:rRNA from 1 species
UUGAAGAGUUUGAUCAUGGCUCAGAUUGAACGCUGGCGGCAGGCCUAACACAUGCAAGUCGAACGGUAACAGGAAACAGCUUGCUGUUUCGCUGACGAGUGGCGGACGGGUGAGUAAUGUCUGGGAAACUGCCUGAUGGAGGGGGAUAACUACUGGAAACGGUAGCUAAUACCGCAUAACGUCGCAAGACCAAAGAGGGGGACCUUCGGGCCUCUUGCCAUCGGAUGUGCCCAGAUGGGAUUAGCUUGUUGGUGGGGUAACGGCUCACCAAGGCGACGAUCCCUAGCUGGUCUGAGAGGAUGACCAGCCACACUGGAACUGAGACACGGUCCAGACUCCUACGGGAGGCAGCAGUGGGGAAUAUUGCACAAUGGGCGCAAGCCUGAUGCAGCCAUGCCGCGUGUAUGAAGAAGGCCUUCGGGUUGUAAAGUACUUUCAGCGGGGAGGAAGGGAGUAAAGUUAAUACCUUUGCUCAUUGACGUUACCCGCAGAAGAAGCACCGGCUAACUCCGUGCCAGCAGCCGCGGUAAUACGGAGGGUGCAAGCGUUAAUCGGAAUUACUGGGCGUAAAGCGCACGCAGGCGGUUUGUUAAGUCAGAUGUGAAAUCCCCGGGCUCAACCUGGGAACUGCAUCUGAUACUGGCAAGCUUGAGUCUCGUAGAGGGGGGUAGAAUUCCAGGUGUAGCGGUGAAAUGCGUAGAGAUCUGGAGGAAUACCGGUGGCGAAGGCGGCCCCCUGGACGAAGACUGACGCUCAGGUGCGAAAGCGUGGGGAGCAAACAGGAUUAGAUACCCUGGUAGUCCACGCCGUAAACGAUGUCGACUUGGAGGUUGUGCCCUUGAGGCGUGGCUUCCGGAGCUAACGCGUUAAGUCGACCGCCUGGGGAGUACGGCCGCAAGGUUAAAACUCAAAUGAAUUGACGGGGGCCCGCACAAGCGGUGGAGCAUGUGGUUUAAUUCGAUGCAACGCGAAGAACCUUACCUGGUCUUGACAUCCACGGAAGUUUUCAGAGAUGAGAAUGUGCCUUCGGGAACCGUGAGACAGGUGCUGCAUGGCUGUCGUCAGCUCGUGUUGUGAAAUGUUGGGUUAAGUCCCGCAACGAGCGCAACCCUUAUCCUUUGUUGCCAGCGGUCCGGCCGGGAACUCAAAGGAGACUGCCAGUGAUAAACUGGAGGAAGGUGGGGAUGACGUCAAGUCAUCAUGGCCCUUACGACCAGGGCUACACACGUGCUACAAUGGCGCAUACAAAGAGAAGCGACCUCGCGAGAGCAAGCGGACCUCAUAAAGUGCGUCGUAGUCCGGAUUGGAGUCUGCAACUCGACUCCAUGAAGUCGGAAUCGCUAGUAAUCGUGGAUCAGAAUGCCACGGUGAAUACGUUCCCGGGCCUUGUACACACCGCCCGUCACACCAUGGGAGUGGGUUGCAAAAGAAGUAGGUAGCUUAACCUUCGGGAGGGCGCUUACCACUUUGUGAUUCAUGACUGGGUGAAGUCGUAACAAGGUAACCGUAGGGGAACCUGCGGUUGGAUCACCUCCUU